GAUGAACGCUGGCGGCGUGCCUAAUACAUGCAAGUCGAGCGAAUGGAUUAAGAGCUUGCUCUUAUGAAGUUAGCGGCGGACGGGCGAGUAACACGUGGGUAACCUGCCCAUAAGACUGGGAUAACUCCGGGAAACCGGGGCUAAUACCGGAUAACAUUUUGAACCGCAUGGUUCGAAAUUGAAAGGCGGCUUCGGCUGUCACUUAUGGAUGGACCCGCGUCGCAUUAGCUAGUUGGUGAAGUAACGGCUCACCAAGGCAACGAUGCGUAGCCGACCUGAGAGGGUGAUCGGCCACACUGGGACUGAGACACGGCCCAGACUCCUACGGGAGGCAGCAGUAGGGAAUCUUCCGCAAUGGACGAAAGUCUGACGGAGCAACGCCGCGUGAGUGAUGAAGGCUUUCGGGUCGUAAAACUCUGUUGUUAGGGAAGAGCAAGUGCUAGUUGAAUAAGCUGGCACCUUGACGGUACCUAACCAGAAAGCCACGGCUAACUACGUGCCAGCCGCCGCAGUAA
rnacentral:rRNA from 1 species